UACGUAGGUGGCAAGCGUUGUCCGGAUUUACUGGGCGUAAAGGAUGCGUAGGCGGACAUUUAAGUCAGAUGUGAAAUACCCGAGCUUAACUUGGGUGCUGCAUUUGAAACUAUAUAUCUAGAGUGCAGGAGAGGUAAGUGGAAUUCCUAGUGUAGCGGUGAAAUGCGUAGAGAUUAGGAAGAACACCAGUGGCGAAGGCGACUUACUGGACUGUAACUGACACUGAGGCAUGAAAGCGUGGGGAGCAAACAGG
rnacentral:rRNA from 1 species